UGCCUGCUGGAGACAAACUGAUGGGUUUUAAAUGUUUUAACUCCUCAGGGAACGUCCGGGCCCGAUCCCACCACGGUGUACGUGGACCUGAAGUCCUUGAGACAUGACAGAGUCCGUCUGGUGGAACGAGGAGCUCCACAGAGCCUGUUGCUUUCCGAGUCUGGGAAGAUUCUGCCUGGAGUCAAAGUGGUCAUUGUCAACCCGGAGACAAAAGGGCCUCUGGGAGAUUCCCACCUUGGGGAGGUAAGUGGAAAUUUUGCUCCUUG